GACGAACGCUGGCGGCGUGCUUAACACAUGCAAGUCGAACGGAGAGGCCCUGCUUUUGUGGGGUGCUCGAGUGGCGAACAGGUGAGUAACACGUGAGUAUCCUGCCCUUGUCUUUGGGAUAACUUCAGGAAACUGGGGCUCAUACCGGAUAGGAGCUCCUGCUGCGUGGUGUGGGUUGGAAAGUGUCGGCGGUUGGGGCUGGUCUGGCGGGUUAUGAGCUUGUUGGUGGGGUAGUGGAUUACGAAGGCUUUGACGGGUAGCCUGCCUGAGAGGGGGAACGGCGACAUGGGGACUGAGAGACGGACCAGUAGCCUACGGGAGGCAGUAGGGGGGAAUCUUGCGCAGUGAGCGGAAGUCUGAUGUAGCAGUCCCGCGUGCGUGAUGAUGGCCUUUGGGGGAUAAACAGAUUUGGCAGGUGAUAAAGCGUUCGUGACGGUAAUGGGUCAAGAAGCACCGGCUAACUACGUG
rnacentral:rRNA from 1 species